rnacentral:rRNA from 1 species
AGCAGCCGCGGUAAUUCCAGCUCCAAUAGCGUAUAUUAAAGUUGUUGCAGUUAAAAAGCUCGUAGUUGAAUUUCGAGAUCAAUUUGUCGGUCGUGCCUCGGUACGUACUGGCAUUAUUGAUUUCCCCCCUUCUGAAGAACCGCGAUGUCAUUAAUUUGGUGUCGUGGGGAAUCAGGACUGUUACUUUGAAAAAAUUAGAGUGUUUAAAGCAGGCGCACGCUUGAAUACAUUAGCAUGGAAUAAUGAAAUAGGACGUUUGAUUCUAUUUUGUUGGUUUCUAGGAUCGACGUAAUGAUUAAUAGGGAUAGUUGGGGGCAUUAGUAUUCAAUUGUCAGAGGUGAAAUUCUUGGAUUUAUUGAAGACUAACUACUGCGAAAGCAUUUGCCAAGGAUGUUUUCAUUAAUCAAGAACGAAAGUUAGGGAUCGAAGACGAUCAGAUACCGUCGU